rnacentral:lncRNA from 1 species
GUCUGUUUCUUUAAUAAGAGGGAUGGAGUAGCGCUGCGAGCAGGACGCACGCUCCCCUGCCCCUGUGGCUUCAGUGCCGUGGCGCACACCGAUAGGCCGGCACUCAGGCAGAGCCAGGAAGAUCGCGGAGUUCGACGCCAGCCUGGGCUACGCGACUACAGUGGGUUCGAGCCCAGCCUGGGCGACAUAGUAACCUGCUUCAAAAACAAACGAGUUAUUGCAGCUGUGGAGUUCCGGAUAAUACAGGAAAACCCAAAUCCUCCCAGAUGGACCAUAUCCCUCCCAUUGCGAGGAUCCAGAGAUGCAGAGAAGUCAAGAAACUCGGCCAGUAGCAGGACAGUCACGCCAGGUCAGUAACAGAG